rnacentral:siRNA from 1 species
GGAGCUUUUACAGAAAUUGGUA